GUACUUUUCUAUUCCAUAACAAAAAAAUUGAUUUAAUUCUGACAGGCGGCGGAAAGAAACCACUGAUUGCAGGUGGAGUUAUAGGUCUCAUGCUUUCGGGAAUUAUUAUGAUGGCACUCUAUGAGUGUUAUAGCUCAAGCAAAAUUGAAAGAGAGAAUCAAGCCAGAGUUGAAAAGUUUUUGGAAGACUAUAGAGCUCGCAGACCGACUAGAUAUACUUAUGCAGAUAUUAAGAAGAUAACAAAUCAGUUUCAGGAAAUAUUGGGAGAGGGAGCUUAUGGGAUCGUUUAUAAAGGAGUAACCUAACUGUUCCUUCUCCUUUUACAACAAGAAACACCACCCAUGUAGGUCCUUCUACGCAAGAGUUGACGAUAAUCUCAGAACUAGAAUGAAUGGAAGCCUUAAUUACAGAUCAACUCCUUCAUCUAAAGUUGUAAUGUCAGAGUCAAUACAAGUGGAAGUCUGAAUUUUGGUAUUUUCA